GCAAGUCGAACGAGAAACUAUCUUCGGAUAGUGGACAGUGGCGCACGGGUGCGUAACGCGUGGGAAUAUGCCUUUAGGUGCGGGACAACAGUUGGAAACGACUGCUAAUACCGCAUAAUAUCUUCGGAUCAAAGAUUUAUCGCCUAAAGAUUAGCCCGCGUUGGAUUAGCUUGUUGGUGAGGUAAGAGCUCACCAAGGCGACGAUCCAUAGCUGGUCUGAGAGGAUGAUC
rnacentral:rRNA from 1 species